rnacentral:rRNA from 1 species
ACCUCUUCCAGAGUAUCAAUUGGAGGGCAAGUCUGGUGCCAGCAGCCGCGGUAAUUCCAGCUCCAAUAGCGUAUAUUAAAAUUGUUGCAGUUAAAAAGCUCGUAGUUGAAUUUCUGCUGCAUUGCCCUUUCUCCUAUACGAGCUUGGGCCUUGUGGCUUAUCUGGGUUCGCUUGCGUUCCCGGUGUUUUACUUUGAGAAAAUUAGAGUGCUCAAAGCAGGCUUUUGCCUUGAAUAGUUUAGCAUGGAAUAAUAAAGUAGGACUUUGGUUCUAUUUUGUUGGUUUUAGGUACCAAAGUAAUGGUUAAUAGGAACAGUUGGGGGCAUUCGUAUUUAACUGUCA